AAUCUUCCACAAUGGACGAAAGUCUGAUGGAGCAACGCCGCGUGAGUGAAGAAGGUUUUCGGAUCGUAAAACUCUGUCAUUGGGGAAGAAUAAAUGACGGUACCCAAUGAGGAAGCCCCUGCUAACUAAGUUCCAGCAGCCGCGGUAAUACGUAGGGGGCGAGCGUUGUCCGGAAUUACUGGGCGUAAAGGGUACGUAGGCGGCUAUAUAAGUCAGGUGUGAAAUACCAGUGCUUAACACUGGAAUUGCAUUUGAAACUGUGUAGCUUGAGUGCAGGAGAGGAAAGUGGAAUUCCUAGUGUAGCGGUGAAAUGCGUAGAGAUAUGGAGGAACACCAGUGGCGAAGGCGACUCUCUGGUCUGCAACUGACGCUGAGGCGCGAAAGCGUGGGGAUCAAACA
rnacentral:rRNA from 1 species